rnacentral:rRNA from 1 species
UACGUAGGGGGCAAGCGUUAUCCGGAUUUACUGGGUGUAAAGGGAGCGUAGACGGUUUGGUAAGUCAGAUGUGAAAGCCCGGGGCUCAACCCCGGGACUGCAUUUGAAACUGCCAGACUAGAGUGCCGGAGAGGUAAGUGGAAUUCCUAGUGUAGCGGUGAAAUGCGUAGAUAUUAGGAGGAACACCAGUGGCGAAGGCGGCUUACUGGACGAUUACUGACGUUGAGGCUCGAAAGCGUGGGGAGCAAACAGG